AGAGUUAUCUAGGUUUACAAUGAGAAACAUACUAGGUUAGAGUUACUAGUUUACAAUGAGAAACAUACUAGGUUAGAGUUACUAGGUUAUACAAUGAGAAACAUACUAGGUUAGAGUUACUAGGUCAACAAUGAGAAACAUACUAGGUUAGAGUUACUAGGUUUACAAUGAGAAACAUACUAGGUUAGAGUUACUAGGUUUACAAUGAGAAACAUACUAGGUUAGAGUUACUAGGUCAACAAUGAGAAACAUACUAGGUUAGAGUUACUAGGUUUACAAUGAGAAACA